GCCUCUGGUUGUAAGGUUUUUAAGAAGGCUGAGAACAAGAGGAAAGAUUCACUCGUAAUGAAUAGGUCGUCGGUUCAAUUCCGACCAGCGGCUCCA
rnacentral:tRNA from 1 species